UACAGAGGCCCCAAGCGUUACUGAGAAUCACUGGGUUUAAAGGGUGCGUAGGUGGCGCGUUAAGUCCGUUGUGAAAGCCCUGGGCUCAACCCAGGAACUGCUUCGGAUACUGGCGCGCUUGAGGCUAGUAGGGGUUACUGGAACUGACGGUGGAGCGGUGAAAUGCUGUAGAUAUCGUCAGGAACGCCAAUGGUGAAGACAGGUAACUGGGCUAGUUCUGACACUGAGGCACGAAAGCGUGGGGAGCGAACGGG
rnacentral:rRNA from 1 species